rnacentral:rRNA from 1 species
UACGAAGGGGGCUAGCGUUGUUCGGAUUCAUUGGGCGUAAAGGGUGCGUAGGCGGUGAGGUAAGUCGGAUGUGAAAUCCCGGGGCUCAACCCCGGAACUGCAUUCGAUACUGCUUUACUUGAGGACUGGAGAGGAGAUUGGAAUUCACGGUGUAGCAGUGAAAUGCGUAGAUAUCGUGAGGAAGACCAGUGGCGAAGGCGAAUCUCUGGACAGAUCCUGACGCUGAGGCACGAAGGCUAGGGGAGCAAACGGG